rnacentral:rRNA from 1 species
GGCGAUCAGAUACCGCCCUAGUUCUGACCGUAAACGAUGCCAACUAGCGAUCCGCCAGUCGACUCAUCGCUCUGGUGGGGAGCUUCCCGGAAACGAAAGUCUUCCGGUUCCGGGGGAAGUAUGGUUGCAAAGCUGAAACUUAAAGGAAUUGACGGAAGGGCACCACCAGGAGUGGAGCCUGCGGCUUAAUUUGACUCAACACGGGGAAACUCACCCGGCCCGGACACCGUAGGGAUUGACAGAUUGAUAGCUUUUUCAUGAUUCGGUGGAUGGUGGUGCAUGGCCGUUCUUAGUUCGUGGAGCGAUUUGUCUGGUUUAUUCCGAUAACGAGCGAGACUCUGGCCUACUAAAUAGUUGACGCAUUGCCACUGUGCGCACAACUUCUUAGAGGGAUUUUCGGUGUUCAGCCGCACGAAAUUGAGCAAUAACAGGUCUGUGAUGCCCUUAGAUGUCCGGGGCUGCACGCGCGCUACACUGGCAAAAUCAGCGUGCUUGUCCUCCCCCGAAAGGGGUUGGUAAACCGAUGAAAAUUUGCCGUGAUUGGGAUCGGACAUUGCAACUAUUGUCCGUGAACGAGGAAUUCCUUGUAGGGGCGAGUCAUCAACUCGUCCCGAAUACGUCCCUGCCCUUUGUA